AAUAAGUGUAGUUUUGCAUCGUUCGUGUCUAACGUUUGACCAUUUAUUUUAUUUAUUUUUUUAUAAUUAAUUUUUUUAUUGUUAUUAGAUGAUAAAAUAUGAAUAUUACUUUGUGUGUGACUAUUUUAUUUAAAUUUUUGUUAAAUAAGACGAACAGUCAAACGUUAGGCACGGAUAUCCAGAGCUACACUUAUU
rfam:Oryza glumipatula chromosome 8, whole genome shotgun sequence.